AUUGAACGCUGGCGGCAGGCCUAACACAUGCAAGUCGAGCGGAAACGAAGGGAGCUUGCUCCCAGGCGUCGAGCGGCGGACGGGUGAGUAACACGUGAGAAUCUGCCCAUUAGUGGGGGACAACUCGGGGAAACUCGAGCUAAUACCGCAUAAUCCCUACGGGGGAAAGCAGGGGACCUUUUGGCCUUGCGCUGAUGGAUGAGCCCACGGCGGAUUAGCUUUGUGGUGAGGUAAAGGCUCACCAAGGCGACGAUCCGUAGCUGGUCUGAGAGGAUGAUCAGCCACACUGGGACUGAGACACGGCCCAGACUCCUACGGGAGGCAGCAGAGGGGAAUCUUGGACAAUGGGGGCAACCCUGAUCCAGCCAUGCCGCGUGUGUGAAGAAGGCCUUCGGGUUGUAAAGCACUUUCAGCAGGGAGGAAGGCUUUGGCCGAAUAGGUUGAAGUACUUGACGUUACCUGCAGAAGAAGCACCGGCUAAUUUCGUGCCAGCAGCCGCCGUAA
rnacentral:rRNA from 1 species